rnacentral:lncRNA from 1 species
UUUUUUUUCUCCUGCCCAGCAGUGCGCUGCUGCUGCAAACGCAUAGGAACCAUAGGGCAAAUACCUACAACCACCAAAUGGCACAAUCACAGCACUCAGCCACUGCAGUCCCUAAUGACCACCUCCCCAGCAGUUUUCAGAGCCAUCCCUUUUGCUAUGGGUGAGGUAUCUGACAGGGAAAGGUUUGGGUCACAGGCCAGGCCACCCCCAGGCUGGUUAAGGACACCCAGGGUGGGGACAAGUAUUACAAGAAAAGCACUGCAGGAGAUCAUUUCCGAACCAUGCUGAGAUUACACCCAACACAACAGGUUGCCAGUGACCGGUGAGAGGAGACAGCGAGUCUUUGCUGUUGGCCUUAUUAUUUUGCUGUCUGAAUUACAAAUAGAAUUUAGACAAAACUUAAAUCUAAUUAAGCAGCAGUUUGUGCUGUGGCAGAUUUUAUCACACUAAGUAAUUGGCUGUAAUGGGACUUCUGCAGCCUAAGCUGAGGGCAAAUGAUAUAUGCUGUAGACACAUAAUGAACUUUAAAUAAAUUAUCCAAGAGCAGAACUCAAAAUAAAAGGGAACUAGAUUAUUGAAAUAGAAACUCUCUCUCAGUCUUAACAGUGGAGCCACUGCUCCGUUACAUGGUACUCUUUACUGUAACCAAUUGAUUGGAGUCACUUUAAAAAAUGUUGUGAUUGCAUGUCUUUAAUUGCAGUCACGUAUAAGGGAAACUUGUCUGCUCCUGCAUUGUGAUAAUUUAAUUAGAGCCUGCUGGAAAUAAAAGCCAAAUGGCUGCAGCCAUGGCAAAGUAACCUAAUGCCUGUAAUUGGACUAUAUUUCACACAGAUGUGUUGCUGAAUAAAUUAAAUGGGAUUUGGCUCACGCUGUUUGACUAUUCCACUGGCUGGGAUCUGAAAGUCACAAAUUACAUAUUUAAGGAUGAAGAUGGAAGCACCCUAUUGCUUUUCUUCAGCUGCAGAGGUCCUGUUUAGGCAAAACAAGACCAGGGCAAGAAGGAGAGCGUGGCGGCAAGCAGAGGGGCAGGGAACUGAGGCAUGGAGCUGGCUGGGAAGUGAGGAAGAUGAGGCUCAGGAAGCUCAAGAAGGCAAGUAUUGCUAUGGAUCACAUUUGCCCUUAUGUCCUCUGGCAGGAGGACAGGAAUGAAACUCUUGCAUAUGAUGCACUUGUCCAGCACAGAAGCCAGUUACCCAAACACCGAGCAUACUCAGUGAAGAGCAAAUGAUGGUAAAGGUCUAGGUGUGGUGGUCACCUCUUGUCAAGCAUUUCUCAAUCCUAAACAGUGCCUGAGUCAGUGUGCUGGCAUCUGCAGACUGCGUGCUUGGCUGGCCCACGGGCACGCUGCUGGUGUUCACAAAGGGCUGUGUUUUCCCUUAUUCCCUCUGUUGCUGACUUCUUGCAGUUCAAAACCAAAAAUGUCAUCCAGUCAAACUCUGUGGGAAGAAGAAUUUGCAGAGCACAGUAAGGGAAUAUAAUGAGAAACCUUUUCUCCUUAAAGGUAGACAGGCACUGGGGAGGCUGCCCUGCAAGGAUGUGCAGGUGCCAUCCUUGGAUGUUUUCAAGUCACAGCUGGACACAGCUCUGAGCAACCUGGCCAGAAAUCAGUGCUGACACUUCUCUGGACAGGGAAUUGCACUAGAGACCUUCUGAAGUCCCUUUCAACCUGAUGGGUCCUAGAAUUUUACAAUCCUAUGAAGACUGCAAGCUGUAAAAGACAAGGGUAAGAUCAAAGAUCCAAAAUUUCAAGAGCAACCAGUUUCUUCUUGUUGCAAGGAAGACAAAUCACAAUACGACAAAACUACACUAGACCUUAGCCAACCCUUUCCCACAGCUAGGGAGCCCUGUUUACCAACCAGUCUCAACUGUACGCUCUUUAUUUCCCAGGAGUCAUCAAGACUGCAGAGAUGAAGUUCUGUGAAAUUGCUUAAUUCUUUAGUUUUAUUAGUCCUCAAGGUAGUGCAGACCUUUAUAGUCCUUUUUAUUUACUUAGGAUUUAGACAUGUAUGGCUGCGUACAUACAUGCAUAUUUGGACACCCCUACUAUUCGCUCAGCCUGGAUUUAAACAGAAAUUUGUCUCACAGUUAUUAAACUGACUGUGUGGUUUGAAACAUUUUUCUAAUGUUUCAUUUAAUUUCUGAUAAACUU